CACUGCAAUCAAAACUGGCCUCUUUGAUUACGUGUGGGUUCAAUUCUAUAACAAUCCUCCAUGUCAAUACGUAAAUGAUGCUACCGGUCUCUUGAGUGCAUGGAACCAAUGGACCACAGUUCAAUCCAAUCAAAUAUUCCUGGGACUACCUGCUGCUCCCGAGGCAGCCCCUAGUGGUGGAUUCAUCCCUGCUGAUGUGCUCAUUUCUCAGGUCCUUCCAUCUAUCAAGGGUUCACCCAAGUAUGGAGGCGUGAUGCUCUGGAGCAAGCAGUAUGACAAUGGGUAUAGUGCAGCUAUAAAGGGCAGUGUCUAGAUUUUUUUCAGCCCUGCUCUUCCCCAUGCUGUGUGCUCCUGAUUCCUGAAUAAAUUUGAUAUAUGUAUAUAUUUAUGCCACAGCAUGUUGAUCUAAAGAGUGUACGCGGCGAUCAAAAUAUUAUGUUUACUUAAAUUUCAAGCUAAAUAAAACGAAAUUAUAGUUCCCUGAUAAGGAAAAUAUAAUCAAUUUACCAGUGAAUUCCUUAUAGUGUUUUUUUUUCUUUUUCAUCAAGCUCAACAAAAGUCUUGUGGUUGAGGAGUAACUUUAUGCCUUCUAAGAGUCUUCAAAACUCAACUGGGGUGUCUAAAUUUUUCCACUCGAUCCAUGAAUGUGAAUCCCUUGAUAUAUUAAUUUGCUGACAUUUUCAAAGUUAAAAUGUGAAAGAAAGAAAAGUAGUCAAACAAAUGAAUUUUGAAUCAACGAGACUAAGGCUAACAGAAAUAAAACCCGUUUUAAUGGAGGAUGAGCAAGAAAUGGGAAUGUAAUAAUCAAUUAUUUAGAUUAAAACUUACCGUUUUAUUUAAAUUAAACAGCGGGUUAUUUCCUUUUAAACCCACAAUUUAAUAUCUUAAAAAUACUAGAUACUAAAAUCUAGCAAUAAAUUAAUUAUUUGCUUUAAUCAAACUAAGAACUAUUCUAAAAUCUAAAUAACGUGUAUUAUUCUGUGUCUGUACCAUUUCCUAAUGCCCAAAUGUUGAAGGGGCUUCUUUUAUUGAUAUGGGAACAUUGAAUUUGGGAUCUGCUUUCAAAUUAUUCAUAUGGUUCAUAGCAUAUCAAUUUAGUGAACGUAACUGCUCUGUGUUCUGGAAUUCCCUUCCCAUGAAGCUCUCUAUGAAGUAUUGUUUUAUGUUGCCAUUGAAACAGUAAUGCAGAUGAAUAUUCAUUUGAAAUCUAUUCUCUCCCCAUACUAUGUAAACAUAUUAUUUUGAGUUCGCAUGUGCGCUUUUCAUCAUUGAUGGAGAAAGAAGGAUAAGCAUAGCUAAAUUAUAUGUUUGAAUGCACACGUUUUCAGGUACCGUCAGAGUCUCGGCGGUGUUGUUCACAAAAUCUACAAAAAAAAGUGGACUCGUUGUUGUUCUCCGAGGAAGAUGAAUUGCCUAAUUAUUCUAUCCUCAACAGUGAGGACAGUAAUCAAACCCGGAGAGAAGAAAUAGAACGAGAUGAAAUGGAUGAUGAUAAUAGAAUCAUUGACUCAGUUUCAGCAGAAGAUGAGUCCCUUAGACAGGUGGAAAAUGAGCGUCAAAGCCCCCAAGGGAUGAAUCAGGAGGAGCAUGCUCGAAAAUUCGUUGAUGUUCAAACCAGGAGACAGAGGGCAAGAAGAUUUGCAUCUUUUGCUAGCUGGGUUCCAAAUUUGCAGAGAGUUUGGGCACCGAAGCAGCCAGAGGCAAUGAAACCAGAUCCUCUUCGUAAUUUGACAAUGAGUACAGUGCAGCUACAAAGGGCAGUGUCUCCGUCUUGCAGCCUUGCUCUUCAUGCUAUCAUCUUAUGUUAUUCUGAGUGUAGCAUUCACUUGUUGGCAAUAAAAAACAUGACUGUAUGCUUGAACUUGAUCCCACACUAAAUGAAACAAAAUUAUAUUUCCUGAUGAGAAAAUUAAUCUAGAUUGAUUUGGAUUUUUUUUUAAUUUGAUUAUUACUAGUUUAGUAGAUGUAUUAUUGAAAGAAAAUAAAUUCUGGAACAGGGAAAUUUUUUUAUGAUUUUAACACAAGAUUGCUUAGCUAAACUACAGUACGGGAAAAAGAGUGAGUUUCUUAGGAUAUAUUAUUAUUAACUCCAAGGCAUUGGUCGAGAGGUGCACUUUUUGUGUGGAUAAUAGUAUGACAAGGUUUUCACGUUAUCAGCUCUUGCGAGGUAGCCUGCGAGAGGUUUUUCCUCGUUAAUUUUUUUUAGCGUGAAUUAUAGUUGUGUUCAAAAUAUGACCGGAUUACGGCAUUACAUGGGAGAGUGUUAAAAGAUUAAAAUGUUUUUUAUUUUAGAAAGUAUAAAAAUAAUAUUUUUUUAAAUUUAUUUUUGAUAUAGCAUAUCAAAAUAAUUAAAAAAACAAUUAAAAAACUAAUUUUAAACUAAAACAAAUUCAAAUUUAAAAAAAAUAGUGUUUUGGCUGCAAAUCACAAAGUUAUUGGGUUAAUAAAUCAUUUUCUAUAGAUCAUUUUAGAUAAAAAAUUUAGAGUUGACUCGGCUAAGUCUCACUUGGUUUCUGAUUGGGUCAAGUAGAUUACCGAUUGACCUGUCAAGUCACUCAAAUUUAAUCAUAUUAAUGCCUGAAAUAGUUUAAAAAAAACUUAGUUAAAAUCCCAGACGAGUUUAGCCGGGUCAACUAGAUCACGAAUUGACAAUCAAGUUACUGUAUUUUACUGUAUCAUUGUCUAAAACAGUGCAAACAAAACUAUUCUAUCACUGUAUAAAACAGUUCAAACAAAACUAUUCUAAGUUAAAUUUCAAGUUAGUAAGUUACCCGGUCAACUGUCGCACAGGGUUUAGAUUGUGUUUGGAAGUGAAGUAAUGGUUGUUUUUUAAAGUAUUUUCCGCUAAAAAAUACAUGAAAAUAAUAUUUUUAAAAUACAAAAUUAUUUUUAACAUCAAAAUUUCAAAACAAUCUAAAAAUACUAAAAGAAUUAUUUUUAAACAAAAAAACAAAAAAAAAAACAUAAAACACGGUUUCAAUUGGAAAAACAAACAGCAACUUAAUAACUAAGAAAUUCAUCGCCUGCUUUUGAUGGAAUCGUCAAAGUGGAAACCAAUUUCAGACUGCCAGAAAAACAGUCCCUAAUUCCCCUUUGAUUCCAGGAAACUCACUGAGGGACUUAAAUGGUAUCUGCCAAACCGUCCUGGUCCUACUAUUUGUAAAUAAAGAAGACCAGUAUAAUCUUUAAUAACCAUGGUACUUUAUUCUUGUCUACAUUAUUUUUAUGCAGAAUUCUUCUAUACUUUCAAUGAGAACGGCACCAAUUUCUUGCCCACAAACCACGGUAAUCAGACUUUUCUACUAAGACACCUAGACACGCAUGGUCCUCAGAAGCUAUAAAUAUGUUCCGUCUCCACAUUGUUGAAACACAGAACAAGCUUGAGAUCCAAAAUGGCUUGCCAAGCAAAAGCUAUCACCCUUCUUCUAUCCAUCUUAGCUGUCUCCUUAUGCAAACCCUCAGAUGGUGCAGGCAUCGCCAUCUAUUGGGGUCAAAAUGGCAAUGAAGGCAGCUUAGCUGAUACUUGUAACACAGGAAACUAUCAAUUUGUGAACGUAGCUUUCCUAUCUAGUUUCGGCAAUGGCCAAUCUCCAGUGCUGAACCUAGCAGGCCAUUGUGACCCCAGCGCCGGUACUUGCACCGGCAUAAGCAAUGACAUUACAUCUUGUCAAAAUCAAGGAAUCAAGGUGCUGCUUUCCAUUGGAGGUGGCGCAGGCAGCUACUCCCUUUCAUCGGCCGACGAUGCAGGGCAAGUUGCAAACUAUAUCUGGAAUAACUUCCUUGGUGGUCAGUCCAGCUCACGCCCGCUAGGCGAUGCCAUCCUAGAUGGGGUUGAUUUUGACAUCGAGUCAGGUUCAGGCCAGUUCUGGGAUGAUCUUGCUAGGGCACUUAAUGGCUUUAGCCAACAAAGGAAGGUAUACUUAGCUGCAGCUCCACAAUGCAUCUUCCCUGAUGCUAAUCUAGACACUGCAAUCAAAACUGGCCUCUUUGAUUACGUGUGGGUUCAAUUCUAUAACAAUCCUCCAUGUCAAUACGUAAAUGAUGCUACCGGUCUCUUGAGUGCAUGGAACCAAUGGACCACAGUUCAAUCCAAUCAAAUAUUCCUGGGACUACCUGCUGCUCCCGAGGCAGCCCCUAGUGGUGGAUUCAUCCCUGCUGAUGUGCUCAUUUCUCAGGUCCUUCCAUCUAUCAAGGGUUCACCCAAGUAUGGAGGCGUGAUGCUCUGGAGCAAGCAGUAUGACAAUGGGUAUAGUGCAGCUAUAAAGGGCAGUGUCUAGAUUUUUUUCAGCCCUGCUCUUCCCCAUGCUGUGUGCUCCUGAUUCCUGAAUAAAUUUGAUAUAUGUAUAUAUUUAUGCCACAGCAUGUUGAUCUAAAGAGUGUACGCGGCGAUCAAAAUAUUAUGUUUACUUAAAUUUC
rnacentral:lncRNA from 1 species